rnacentral:lncRNA from 1 species
CUCAAGUUAGGAGUUAGAUGUAUGUUUAAAUAAAACAUAAAAUAGAGUCCUCUAUCUAGGUUUAAAUUUACAGUUCUCAUGAAUACAAAAGAUAGUUCACACAAUGAACAUACUUCGUGUAAUAGUUCAUACAUACAAUGAACAUUUUACUCUGAGAAAGUUAGCUUAUUGUUUAUUAGAGUUCAUGGUAGAACUUCCCUCAUUAAUGCCUCUGAAGUGAUGAUACGACAGAUUCUUAAAAUGGAAAAACUAUAAGCCUGCUCUGAUCUCAGUCAGAGUAUAGAUUUAUAAAUUCUGUAUUCUUUUCCAAAAGUCUAAUAACACCGUUUGCCCUACUUUUUUAGGUAAAAGAAAAUGAAUUUAGGUAACACCUAGUUUAUACCUAUUUUUGCAACCUUUAGUCAUUUCCCUUCAGGACCAGCAGAGGGCGCGCUUUACUUUGCUCUUGUUAACUUUGAAAUUCAAAUACUUAGAAGUGCAUUCCAAUUUUUAUGAUCUCAUUAUAUGUCUAAAAUUAACUUUCCAAGAAUAAGUAUUUCAUUUCAUUUAGCCAGAUUAUAGUUUAAUUAAAUAAGAUCCAUGAUUUGUUAGUAAGGGUUCUCAUUAGUAAUCAUUAAAAAUGGAGCAUUUCUAGU